AACUAUAUAAAUAUAUCCCUGUGUUGUGUCGUUCUGUUUAUGUUGAGACUGAUGAUUUUGAACGUCGAUAAGUGUUGUUCGGCCAACUGCAAUGACUCACUAAACCGUACUGGCAAUUUCAGCUGCCAGAAAUUAGACGCCCCCAUCUGUCUGCUUUGAGAGUAAAGCUCCCGUUUAUACACUGGCGUUAGGGAUAGCAGACCUCUCAAUGAAUGGAUAAACACGCAGACGCAAGAGACGACAAAGUUAUUACCUACCCUGGAGACAGUUAACGGGGUGCUGAAAUCCCGUCCUCCAACCAGCCGAAAACCCCACGGUGAGGGUCCCUUGAGUGUCACGGUCUGGGUCAUGAUUGCCAAAAAGAAUGUGAGAGAAUAUCAGAUAAAUGACAGGCAGGCUGAGAAGGGGAAGUGUCCGUGGUUCCUCGAUAUACGGAUGAAAACAGGGAACGUGAACUAGCCACAGUCCUAUGCCUAGCUGCUAGGCAACGCUGCCCCGGCUCUGAAAACUUUCCUCCUCGCUUGAUUCAGGUUUAAAUAACAAAGCCGCUUCUGACGUAGGACGAUGGGCUGCCGUGCCCGCCUUCGCCCGGUCCAUAGCAGAGAGUGGGAGGGGACGAUGCUGGGUGUCGUGGCUGCUGCGUGUGGAGACUUCCAGUGGUGAUAUGUCACAUAAGAGGCAGUGUUUGUGCAAACGGAGUGAAUAUAGUGUGCAUGCCAUUAUCAGCUAAAUGUGUUUGACUUGUCAUUCAUUCACUUCUGCUCCCUCUACCUCAAUGAAAAUAACAAAAGGCGGGGCUCAACAGCUGGGUGUAAAGCAAUCAAAGGAAUAUGGAAGAUCAGGACCUGAGCCACUAAUUGUGGGUAGUCAGAUACUUCAAGCUUAUUACAAAAGCAAGCAUAAAUAUUAACAGUACGGCAGUGUGUUAAUGGGGUGUUCACAUGUAGAUUAGUUUAUGUUAUUAUUUAGUUUUAGUUGGAUGAAAUACAUUAACCAUGAUUUUAGAUGAUAAUAAAGCUGGCUAUUAGAAAAGUUUGAUGAGACGGGGUGGUUGGGACGUUUACCUUAUCUAGACAGGAGGAAAAAUUGUUACCUUUCUUUAAGCAUUUCAACUGCAAACACCAGACCAUUUUGCAUUUUUCUAUACAGUUUUGUUCCCCUUCUUUAAUCAUAUUGUUAUUACUUAGC